GCCUGGCUGGUUCUGUCAGUAGAGCACGAGACUCUUGAUCUUGGGAUUGUAGGUUCAAGUCCUACAUUGGAUA
rnacentral:tRNA from 1 species